UCGAACGCUGGCGGCGUGCUUAACACAUGCAAGUCGAGCGAUGAAACACCUUCGGGUGUGAAUUAGCGGCGAACGGGUGAGGAACACGUGAGAAAUCUGCCUUCAACACUGGGAUAACUCCGGGAAACCGGGGCUAAUACCGGAUAUGAAAUCUGCGGGCAUCCGCGGAUUUGGAAAGUUUUUCGGUUGAAGAUGAUCUCGCGGCCUAUCAGCUUGUUGGUGAGGUAAUGGCUCACCAAGGCGACGACGGGUAGCCGGCCUGAGAGGGCGACCGGCCACACUGGGACUGAGACACGGCCCAGACUCCUACGGGAGGCAGCAGUGGGGAAUAUUGGGCAAUGGAGGAAACUCUGACCCAGCGACGCCGCGUGCGGGAUGAAGGCCUUCGGGUUGUAAACCGCUUUCAGCAGGGAAGAAGCGAAAGUGACGGUACCUGCAGAAGAAGCACCGGCUAACUAUGUGCCAGCAGCCGCGGUAAUACAUAGGGUGCAAGCGUUGUCCGGAAUUAUUGGGCGUAAAGAGCUCGUAGGUGGUUCGUCACGUCGGAUGUGAAAAUCUGGGGCUUAACCCCAGACCUGGCAUUCGAUACGGGCGAGCUUGAGUAUGGUAGGGGAGUCUGGAAUUCCUGGUGUAGCCGUGGAAUGCGCAGAUAUCAGGAGGACACCAUGGCG
rnacentral:rRNA from 1 species